CAACAAAUAGUUUAUAAAAUAUAAUCUUUGGAAGAUUAAGAUGUGUAUUACACUUUGUUGA
rnacentral:tRNA from 1 species